rnacentral:rRNA from 1 species
AACGAACGCUGGCGGCGUGUUUAAGACAUGCAAGUCGCACGGGAUCGCGGGUGUAGCAAUACUUCCGAGGUUCAGUGGCGCACGGGUGAGUAACACGUGAAUGACAUGCCCUUGAGUGGGGGAUAGCCCAGGGAAACUUGGAUUAAUACCCCAUGGUAUCGCGAGAUUAAAGGCGGCCGCAAGGCUGUCGCUCGGGGAUUGGUUCGCGGCCUAUCAGCUAGUUGGCGGGGUAACGGCCCACCAAGGCGACGACGGGUACCUGGUCUGGGAGGACGAUCAGGCACACUGGAACUGAGACACGGUCCAGACACCUACGGGUGGCAGCAGUCGAGAAUAAUUCACAAUGGGGGCAACCCUGAUGGUGCAACGCCGCGUGGAGGAUGACGGUCUUCGGAUUGUAAACUCCUGUCAUCCGGGAGCAAGACCUGGGGGUUAACAGCCCACAGGGUUGAUAGUACCGGAAGAGGAAGGGACGGCUAACUUCGUGCCAGCAGCCGCUGUAA